GUUUUCAUUUUGGCAGCACAAACACCAAAACUGGAAUAACACAGAGAAGAUGAGCAUGGUUCCUGAACAAGAAUAGCAUUAAAUACUCCAUAUUUUA
rnacentral:snRNA from 1 species